rnacentral:rRNA from 1 species
AUACGGAGGGGGCUAGCGUUGUUCGGAAUUACUGGGCGUAAAGGGCACGUAGGCGGGUUCCUAAGUCGGGGGUGAAAUCCCGGGGCUCAACCCCGGAACUGCCCUCGAUACUGGGAGCCUCGAGGACGGGAGAGGCGAGUGGAAUUCCGAGUGUAGAGGUGAAAUUCGUAGAUAUUCGGAGGAACACCAGUGGCGAAGGCGGCUCGCUGGCCCGAUCCUGACGCUGAGGUGCGAAAGCGUGGGGAGCAAACAGGAUUAGAAACCCUAGUAGUCC